rnacentral:misc_RNA from 1 species
GAUGAAGAACGCAGCGAAAUGCGAUAAGUAAUGUGAAUUGCAGAAUUCAGUGAAUCAUCGAAUCUUUGAACGCACAUUGCGCCCUCUGGUAUUCCGGGGGGCAUGCCUGUUCGAGCGUCAUUAUAACCACUCAAGCUCUCGCUUGGUAUUGGAGUUCGCGAUCUCGCGGCUCCUAAAAUCAGUGGCGGUGCCUGUCGGCUCUACGCGUAGUAAUACUCAUCGCGAUUGAGUCCGGUAGGUUUACUUGCCAGCAACCCCCAAUUUUUACAGGUUGACCUCGGAUCAGGUAGGGAUACCCGCUGAACUUAAGCAUAUCAAUAAGCGGAGGA